rnacentral:rRNA from 1 species
UGGGGAAUAUUGGACAAUGGGCGAAAGCCUGAUCCAGCCAUGCCGCGUGUGUGAAGAAGGUCUUCGGAUUGUAAAGCACUUUAAGUUGGGAGGAAGGGCAGUAAAUUAAUACUUUGCUGUUUUGACGUUACCGACAGAAUAAGCACCGGCUAACUCUGUGCCAGCAGCCGCGGUAAUACAGAGGGUGCAAGCGUUAAUCGGAAUUACUGGGCGUAAAGCGCGCGUAGGUGGUUCGUUAAGUUGGAUGUGAAAUCCCCGGGCUCAACCUGGGAACUGCAUUCAAAACUGACGAGCUAGAGUAUGGUAGAGGGUGGUGGAAUUUCCUGUGUAGCGGUGAAAUGCGUAGAUAUAGGAAGGAACACCAGUGGCGAAGGCGACCACCUGGACUGAUACUGACACUGAGGUGCGAAAAGCGUGGGGAGCA